AACGAACGCUGGCGGCAUGCCUAACACAUGCAAGUCGAACGAGACCUUCGGGUCUAGUGGCGCACGGGUGCGUAACGCGUGGGAAUCUACCCUUGGGUUCGGAAUAAUAGUGAGAAAGUACUGCUAAUACCGGAUGAUGACGUAAGUCCAAAGAUUUAUCGUCCAAGGAUGAGCCCGCGUAGGAUUAGUUAGUUGGUAGGGUAAAGGCCUACCAAGGCGACGAUCCUUAGCUGGUCUGAGAGGAUGAUCAGCCACACUGGGACUGAGACACGGCCCAGACUCCUACGGGAGGCAGCAGUGGGGAAUAUUGGACAAUGGGCGAAAGCCUGAUCCAGCAAUGCCGCGUGAGUGAUGAAGGCCUUAGGGUUGUAAAGCUCUUUUACCAGGGAUGAUAAUGACAGUACCUGGAGAAUAAGCUCCGGCUAACUCCGUGCCAGCAGCCGCAGUAA
rnacentral:rRNA from 1 species